rnacentral:rRNA from 1 species
CCUACGGGAGGCAGCAGUGGGGAAUAUUGCACAAUGGGGGAAACCCUGAUGCAGCAACGCCGCGUGAGUGAAGAAGUAUUUCGGUACGUAAAGCUCUAUCAGCAGGGAAGAAAAUGACGGUACCUGACUAAGAAGCCCCGGCUAACUACGUGCCAGCAGCCGCGGUAAUACGUAGGGGGCAAGCGUUAUCCGGAUUUACUGGGUGUAAAGGGAGCGUAGACGGCAGCGCAAGUCUGGAGUGAAAUCCCAUGGCUUAACCAUGGAACUGCUUUGGAAACCGUGCAGCUAGAGUGCAGGAGAGGUAAGCGGAAUUCCUAGUGUAGCGGUGAAAUGCGUAGAUAUUAGGAGGAACACCAGUGGCGAAGGCGGCUUACUGGACUGUAACUGACGUUGAGGCUCGAAAGCGUGGGGAGCAAACAGGAUUAGAUACCCUGGUAGUC